GGACCCGCACAAGCGGUGGAUGAUGUGGAUUAAUUCGAUGCAACGCGAAAAACCUUACCUACCCUUGACAUGUCUGGAAUCCUGAAGAGAUUUGGGAGUGCUCGAAAGAGAGCCAGAACACAGGUGCUGCAUGGCUGUCGUCAGCUCGUGUCGUGAGAUGUUGGGUUAAGUCCCGCAACGAGCGCAACCCUUGUCAUUAAUUGCCAGCAUUUAGUUGGGCACUUUAAUGAGACUGCCGGUGACAAACCGGAGGAAGGUGGGGAUGACGUCAAGUCCUCAUGGCCCUUAUGGGUAGGGCUUCACACGUCAUACAAUGGUGCAUACAGAGGGCUGCCAAGUCGUGAGACGGAGCAAAUCCCAGAAAGUGCAUCGUAGUCCGGAUUGAAGUCUGCAACUCGACUUCAUGAAGUUGGAAUCGCUAGUAAUCGCGGAUCAGCAUGUCGCGGUGAAUACGUUCCCGGGUCUU
rnacentral:rRNA from 1 species